CCUCGCAGUUAGGAUUUGUGGCGUUUGUCAGAGACAAACAAAGUUACAACACAGCAGAAGACAGAGGAUGUAAAAGAGACACAAAUUUGACUAAAAAUUCAGUUCAUGUUUUUAAAAUAUUACAGAGAGAAGUAGCUGACUCUCUCUGGAAUGAGUGGCCAAAUAAAUUUCCACCAGACUUUCAAGUGACCUAACUUCUCAACUUUCGAGUAAAGACAAACAUGAGUCAAGAGUCUUUGUUUUCUCUUCUGGCCGUACACUGGAAAAGAUGCAGUCAUCCUCAGAAGGUUCAAUAGCAUUCCUCUGCUUUUAUGAUAAGCUGUAGCCUGUUAGUCCUAAGCCUGGGAGUCAAAGCUUCAAGCUGGCCAAAAAGCUGUGUAAGCAUUGACGGGAGCUACACUAAUUGAAGAAAGAGCAUCAGACUUAGAGCUGGACUAGACGCUAUCCUUGCUGUUUUUGAGAUAGUAGACCACACAACCACAUCCACAAUACUUUUGUUUAUGUUAUAGUAUCAUGUCAGUAGAGGCUCAUGGGAUUUUUGCUCAGAUAACCUUAGUUAGGAGACAAAGAAAAAGACAGAAAAGUUCAAUCAUUUCUGUUUGUUUGUACAGAUGGAAGACAGAAAAGGCAAAGGCAAACAGGAAUUUUUGUAAAGAAGAUGUUCACACACAACCCACAAUGUAUCUCAAAAAUAUAACUGGAUAACAAAAACUGUUAGGUAAUUUACACUGAAACUCACAAAAAGACAGUCAAAAGACUUAAAACAAUCUCAAACAGAGGAAAACUUACAUUUAUAAUACUGUGUGAAUGGCAAAGUUUAAUAGACACAUAUUGGUUAUGGGUUUCCAAAAAAUAGUGCCAGAGACAGUGCCGAAGUGGAUUUUUUUGAUGGCAAAGUGAAUCACUCCUAAGUAUUAAAAUGUUGCAUAAAUUUACACUGGUAUUAUUCAGGUUGGGCUUUUUUUAAAUCUUCUGUGAGAACAUUUUUGACAUUACAGUAUAUAACAGACUUAAUUUCAUAUUGAUGUCUUAUGAUAAUAAACAAGGUAGACAAGACCAUCAGCAACAAGACUGACAAUUUUUAUCUAAGAUAUUCAAAAUUCAAAACAGGCACAAAGGGGGUUGGUGUCAGCGGAGCAGCUGAAGAUAAAGCACAUCUUUACACCUUAUACAUUAAAAAAAUUAGACAUUUUUCCAUCAAAAGUUAGCAGGAUGACAUUUUUGUCUCUAGUCACUUCUCAAUCAUUUAGAUCUAAGAUAAGCAAAGACUUGUUUGUCUUCAGGGGAUGCCAAAAUUGACACAAUCUUAAAGUCCCACACAGGAGUUUUAAUUUGCUAUAUACAAGUUUGAGUUGUUUCUUUCUGUGGCUGUAAAGAGCCUAGCUUCAAGUUUAAUUAUGUUAACCCAGUGUGCUUAUGUUUUAUUUUUUAAAAUAAGAAGAACAGAAGUGUUUGAUAUCUUAAAUAAUAUCUGAAUAUUUUAAUUGAUAGAUAUUUACCAACAUCUGCACCUAUUUUAUGGGAUAGUAGCUGCAUAAAUUAUCAAGAAAGUGUCAGUGUGGUACCCUUUAACUUGUCCCAGAAUGGAAACCAAAUGAACAUAAAACGCAUUUCAUAUUUAUUGGAGCCAAUAGAGCUAACCAAUGAAAUAUCUACUUGUACAGUAUUUGCCAAACUGAUUCAUUCUUUAGUUCUUUAUAUGAUGCUCUGGGAAUUAUAAGUUUAGAAUGGCUUUUUCCCUCACUUAAUGACUUUUAUGAAAGUAAAAUAUAUGGUCUCUGGCUUUUGUAAAGAGAAUAGUUGUGAGGUAGAGUUAGGCUGCUAGAGUUACUUCUAUGUCUCUGAUAUCAAAUGAGAAGACCAUUUGCAUCAGUCUGUGAUGAAGCAUAUGGAGCUGCUGUAUGUACAGUAAAUUUGACAAGAAGUUGUUUGCUAUCUUUCAGUAUUUUUUCUUUAUUUUUGGGUCUUUUUGAUUAAAAAAGUCUGCCUAACUGCUACCACAUGUUCAGACUUUGUACUGCUGUCAUUGCUUCGAUGUGAGCGUGUUGUUUUCCAGACUCUGUGUGUGGUGAAUGUGUGUGAGACAGAGGAAAAGAUGCAGAUACACAGUGACAAAGACGGAGCAUAAAGAAAGAAUGUAAAUGUGUGUCUGGUUUCUUCAUUUUCCUCCUAAUGUGAGCAACACAAAACCCUACAUCUUAGAUACAGUAUAGCUCCCUCCUGAGAACAUCUUUACUGCCAUAUCUGUUACCCUUUAUAAAAACCUAUUUAUACCUCCACAAAAGGGAUACCAGUGUUUCUAGAAAAGCAGGAAGAGAGGUUAUGAAAUACUCUUGAAAUUCUCAGCAUUUACUUCAGAGGCAUCUGUCCUUGACACUGACAUGAAUCACAGUCUGUUGAAGGGUGAGAGAGGAUUUUUUUUCCAUCAGAGGGCUCCAUAAAUCUAACCCACUGACCAGCAGGUGAAAAAAUAGAGCACACGAGAGUCUGCAGGAAAGAAAACGUAAGCAGACAAGAGACCUGGAUGAAUUAAAAACGGCUGGAAAAUGACUAGAAGAGCAAAUGAGACUGAAGCAACAUGUUGAGUGACUAAAGUCUGGAACUGUCUACUCAUGUUUGAGCUGAUCAGCACCCACACAAAGAGGCUCACACUUAUGAGGCCUCUGCAUUCAAUUAGAUACACGAGAAUGAUUUGUAAGGACAUCAGUUCUCAGGCCUAUUUCUGUGAGUCUUUAAACAAGGCCUUUGUUGCCUCUGUCCAUUUCCUUAUUGACCGUCUUCCCUCUUCUUCUGCUGCUUCUACCUCACUUUGCUUCAGAUGGAGGAAGUGGUUUGUGUGCAGACUGCGGCUGGCUGGAACACUGUGCUGUGCACCGGGGAAGCCGAAAUUCGAACCCCUGUGCAUUAAAUGUUCCACUAGAGCAACAAUUUCUGUGAGGGGAAAUGUGUGGUGGGCCAGUGUUAGAGGAUGGAAGGGGAGGGGGGCUCAGUCAGGGGUGGAAGGAGAGAAAGCUGGAGGUUGUUAUGGGGGGACUUGCUCAUGACUCUAAAUAAGAUUCUGGUGGUUGAGUUGGUUUUACUGCAUGCCAUAUACUGUAGAGGUGGAUUAAAACCUAACCACAUACCUUUGUUGCACAUCAUUGUCCUUGUCCUCCUCCUCUAUUCUUGUCUCUCUCACUCCCUCUGCUGUCAGCGGCCCACCAGAGCAAAACCAUGGAGGAGGAAUGCAGAAAUGAGUCUCAGAGCCAAAAAAGCCACGUAUGUGCAAUAUGCCUGUAACCCGGACACAAUAACAUGACACCAUCUCUGCAUUACUUCAAUAAAGAAUGAGUUGUUGUAUUACAUUUUCAUUAAUUGCAUGCAUGACUAAAUGUUAAACCAGCUGUUAAAUAACUGGUUUGAUGCUCAGGGCCUUAGUCUGUGGAGACAGUUCUAACAACAGCUGGAAUAGAAUUUAUCAAGGAUGUAUUCAAAAACCUCCAGGUAAAAAUAAAUAUCCUUAAUGAUAACUAUUCCUGUAGAUUAUCUUUGUCAAAUACAGCAAAGCUACUGGGGUCAACCAGUGGCAACUGGAUGGAUGUUUCAACACAGUAUGUAAGUCUCAAGUCAAGCAUAAAAUGUUUAUUUUGCAUCUUUUGGAAAGCUUGUGAAGCAGUCUUUAGUCAGCAAAAUUAGCCAUCCUGUUGACUGUUUUCAUAAUGUGGUUUUCCAAUUGUGAGUCUGCCUAGGAGCAAAAGCACAGGGUUCCCUUGGCAAGCUUUCUGACUGAUGUAGAGGUUUGCACAGUAUGUCAGAUUUCUAUGUAAGUCAGCGUGAGUCAGUGAAGAAGUAAUUAAAUAAAUUUGUUUUGUCUUUCAAAAUGUAUGAUAGAAAAACGCUGCCUUGCACUUGAUUUUUCUGGGAGCUGAUAUGGUUCAAUACAGUUAAACAAACAACAAAGUGAAUGUUUUAUAAGAACAAAACAAAAUGAAAAGUAUGCUGCAAGAGAUUCACGUAGCUUGAAAUUAACUGGCACAUUUAGCUGUAAUUGUUAUCUGGAGAGCUUUAAUUAUACUGUUUAUCAGCUAAGGAGAAGUCUCUUGUGGGUUUAUCAUAACCUGUAUAUACUGGGUCAAAAUGCAAAGACUUACCUCUGCUCCUGCUGCAACAAACCUCAGAUAUAAGUGCAAAACAACCCAUGACAGCAGCUACAACACUGUAUCCUUGUGUAGUGCUUAUUUUAAAUCAUAUUUUGAAUCCAAUAAACCAGAAACAAGCCUGGAUUAUUUUGAUAUUUUUCACAUGUAGACUAUGGCAACCACCAACUUCAAUAUUUAUUUAUCUAUUAACAUGGCCAUGAAAAAAGGCCAAAAAAUAACAUUGAAGAUAGCUUUUAUUGGGUCUUUAGUGACCUGGUUUCGAAGUUGGUUAAUAUAGAUCAUCCCUGAGGGACAUAUUUGAAUCCCACUAUGAAAAAGUUCUGAUGAGUUUUAACCAUGUUUUAAGCAUAUUUCUUGAGAAGUUACAUGCACUGGGUGAUUUAACUAAUGUGGAAAUAGAGUCACUAAAACAGGAGACUUAAAAGAACUGUUUACAUGUCUUGAUGGUUCGUGGUUUAGGUAAAACAAUGUGGUUUUUCCUAAGCCCAGCCUAAACGUCCUGAUUAUCAGUUCUGGGUCCCUGGCAAUGACUGUUGGGUACAAACUGCCAAACUUUGUUCUGCAGGUAGGGCUGGGCUUUUCAUUGACCAUGUGGGUCGGAUAGUUGUGUGGGCACAGUGUGUCAUCUCAGCCACUAUGUUUUCUGCAGUUGUGUCCAUACAGCACCUUGAUAGCUCAGUUGGUAGAGCUAAGGGCUGUGUUACAAAGUUCGCUGGUUCAAGUCCUGCUCGAAACAUGUGCAUUUUAUUGUUGCAAGCAAUGUUCUAGGUCUUCACGCAUUGAAAAAAACCCAAGCCUUGUCUUCAUUUGUCAACUCCUCCAAAAUGUAAAAACACAAACAAUAUAACUCCUGCUUCAUUUUCCAACCAUCAUUUUUUUAGUCACCCAGCCUAAAAAUCCAGACUAUCAGUUCUGGGUCCUUGGCAAUGACUCCUGGGUACAAACUGUGGUGCUCUGUCCUGAAGGUUAGACUGGGCUUUUCAUCGGCCAUGUUAAUCAAAAGCCCAGCCUAAAGGUCCUGAAUAUCAGUUCUGGGUCCCUGGCAAUGACUGUUGGGUACAAACUGCCAAACUUUGUUCUGCAGGAAGGGCUGGGCUUUUCUUUGACCAUGUGGGUCGAAUAGUUGUGUGGGCAAAGUGUGUCAUCUCAGCCACUAUGUUUUCUGCAGUUGUGCCCAUACAGCACCCUGAUAGCUCAGAUGGUAGAGCGAAGAACUGUAGUAAGUGCCUCUUAUGAAGUACUCUCAUGCAAAGUUCGUUGGUUCAAGUCCUGCUCAAAACACGUGCAUUUCAUUGUUGCAAGCAAUGUUCUUGGUCUUAACACAUUGAAAUAAUGCCAAGCUUUGUCUUCAUCUGUCAACUCCUCCAAAAUGUAAAAACAUAAAAUCUAACUCCUCUUAAUUUUCCAACCAUCAUUUUUUUAUUCACCCAGCCUAAAAAUCCAGAUCAUCAGUUCUGGGUCGUUGGAAAUGACUCCUGGGUACAAACUGUGAAGCUCUGUCCUGAGGGUAGGACUGGGCUUUAGAUUGGCCAUGUUAAUCAAAAGCCCAGCCUAAAAGUCCUGAUUAUCAGUUCUGGGUCCUUGGCAAUGAAUGUUGGGUACAAAAUGCAAAGCUUUGUUCUGCAGGUAGGGCUGGGCUUUUCAUUGACAAUGUGGGUUGAAUAGUUGUGUUGGCAAAGUGUGUUGUCGUAGCCACUAUGUUCUCUGCACUUGUGACUAUAAGCACCUUCAUAGCUCAGUUGGUAGAGCAGAGCACCGUAAGAAGAUCCUCAUCUGAAAGGCUGUCAUCCUAAGGUCGCUGGUUCAACUCCAGCCCAAAGCACCAGAUUUCAUUGGUGUAUGCACUUUUCAAGCUUUUUCAUUGACCAUGUAGCUUUAAUUGUUGUGUUGGCAAAGUGUAUCAUCUCAGCCACUAUGUUUUCUGCGGUUGAGUCUUUAAGCACCUUCAUAGCUCAGUUGGUAGAGCAGGGCACUGUUAGAAGUUCCUAGUAUGAAACUCUGUGAUGCGAACAUCGCUGGUUCAACUCCCGCUCAAAGCACCAGUUUUCAUUGGUGUAUGCGCUUUUCAAGCUUUUUCAUUGACCAUGUAGCUUUAAUUGUUGUGUUGGCAAAGUGUGUCGUCUAAGCAACUAUGUUUUCUGCAGUCGAGUCUACAAUCACCUUCAUAGCUAAGUUGGUAGAGCAAGGCACUGUUAAAAGUUCCUCAUAUAAUACGCUGUGAUGCGAACAUCGCUGGUUCAACUCCCGCUCAAAGCACCAGAUUUCAUUGGUGUAUGCACUUUUCAAGCUUUUUCAUUGACCAUGUAGCUUUAAUUGUUUUGUUGGCAAAGUGUUUCGUCUCAGCCACUUUGUUUUCUGCGGUUGAGUCUAUAAGCACCUUCAUAGCUCAAUUGGUACAGCAGAGGACUGUCAGAAGUUCCUAGUAUGAAACUCUGUGAUGCGAACAUCCCUGGUUCAACUCCCGCUCAAAGCACCAUUUGUCAUUGGUGUAUGCACUUUUCAAGCUUUUUCAUUGACCAUGUAGCUUUAAUUGUUGUGUUGGCAAAGUGUGUCGUCUCAGCCACUAUGUUUUCUGCGGUUGAUUCUACAAGCACCUUCAUAGCUCAGUUGGUAGAGCAGAGCACUGUAAGAAGUUCCUCAUAUGAAGCGUUGUUAUGCGAACAUCGCUGGUUCAACUCCCGCUCAAAGCACCAGUUUCAUUGGUGUACGCACUUUUCAAGCUUUUUCAUUGACCAUGUGGCUUUAAUUGUUGUGUUGGCAAAGUGUAUCGUCUCAGCCACUAUGUUUUCUGCGGUGGAGUCUAUAAGCACCUUCAUAGCUCAGUUGGUAGAGCAGAGGCCUGUAAGAAGUUCCUCAUAUGAAGCGUUGUUAUGCGAACAUCGCUGGUUCAACUCCCGCUCAAAGCACCAGUUCCAUUUAUGUAUGCACUUUUCAAGCUUUUUCAUUGACCAUGUAGCUUUAAUUUUUGUGUUGGCAAAGUGUGUCGUCUCAGCCACUAUGUUUUCUGCGGUUGUGUCAAUAAGCACCUUCACAGUUCAUUUGGUAGAGCAGAGGACUGUCAGAAGUUCCUAGUAUGAAACUCUGUGAUGCGAACAUCCCUGGUUCAACUCCUGCUCAAAGCACCAUUUGUCAUUGGUGUACGCACUUUUCAAGCUUUUUCAUUGACCAUGUGGCUUUAAUUGUUGUGUUGGCAAAGUGUAUCGUCUCAGCCACUAUGUUUUCUGCGGUUGAGUCUAUAAGCACCUUCAUAGCUCAGUUGGUAGAGCAGAGGACUGUCAGAACUUCCUAGUAUGAAACUCUGUGAUGCGACCAUCGCUGAUUCAACUCCCGCUCAAAGCACAAUUUUUCAUUGGUGUAUGCACUUUUCAAGCUUUUUCAUUGACCAUGUAGCUUUAAUUGUUGUGUUGGCAAAGUGUAUCGUCUCAGCCACUAUGUUUUCUGCGGUUGAGUCUAUAAGCACCUUCAUAGCUCAGUUGGUAGAGCACAGGACUGUCAGAACUUCCUAGUAUGAAACUCUGUGAUGCGAACAUCCCUGGUUCAACUCCCGCUCAAAGCACCAUUUGUCAUUGGUGUGUGCACUUUUCAAGCUUUUUCAUUGACCAUGUAGCUUUAAUUGUUGUGUUGGCAAAGUGUGUCGUCUCAGCCACUAUGUUUUCUGCGGUUGAUUCUACAAGCACCUUCAUAGCUCAGUUGGUAGAGCAGAGGACUGUAAGAAGUUCCUCAUAUGAAGCGUUGUUAUGCGAACAUCGCUGGUUCAACUCCCGCUCAAAGCACCAGUUUCAUUGGUGUACGCACUUUUCAAGCUUUUUCAUUGACCAUGUGGCUUUAAUUGUUGUGUUGGCAAAGUGUAUCGUCUCAGUCACUAUGUUUUCUGCGGUGGAGUCUAUAAGCACCUUCAUAGCUCAGUUGGUAGAGCAGAGGACUGUAAGAAGUUCCUCAUAUGAAGCGUUGUUAUGCGAACAUCGCUGGUUCAACUCCCGCUCAAAGCACAAGUUCCAUUUAUGUAUGCACUUUUCAAGCUUUUUCAUUGACCAUGUAGCUUUAAUUUUUGUGUUGGCAAAGUGUGUCGUCUCAGCCACUAUGUUUUCUGCGGUUGUGUCAAUAAGCACCUUCACAGUUCAUUUGGUAGAGCAGAGGACUGUCAGAACUUCCUAGUAUGAAACUCUGUGAUGCGACCAUCGCUGGUUCAACUCCCGCUCAAAGCACCAUUUUUCAUUGGUGUAUGCACUUUUCAAGCUUUUCCAUUGACCAUGUAGCUUUUAUUGUUGUGUUGGCAAAGUGUGUCGUCUCAGCCACUAUGUUUUCUGCGGUUGAUUCUACAAGCACCUUCAUAGCUCAGUUGGUAGAGCAGAGGACUGUCAGAAGUUCCUAGUAUGAAACUCUGUGAUGCGAACAUCCCUGGUUCAACUCCUGCUCAAAGCACCAUUUGUCAUUGGUGUACGCACUUUUCAAGCUUUUUCAUUGACCAUGUGGCUUUAAUUGUUGUGUUGGCAAAGUGUAUCGUCUCAGCCACUAUGUUUUCUGCGGUUGAGUCUAUAAGCACCUUCAUAGCUCAGUUGGUAGAGCAGAGGACUGUCAGAACUUCCUAGUAUGAAACUCUGUGAUGCGACCAUCGCUGCUUCAACUCCCGCUCAACGCACCAUUUUUCAUUGGUGUAUGCACUUUUCAAGCUUUUUCAUUGACCAUGUAGCUUUAAUUGUUGUGUUGGCAAAGUGUAUCGUCUUAGCCACUAUGUUUUCUGCGGUUGAGUCUAUAAGCACCUUCAUAGCUCAGUUGGUAGAGCAGAGGACUGUCAGAACUUCCUAGUAUGAAACUCUGUGAUGCGACCAUCGCUGGUUCAACUCCUGCUCAAAGCACCAUUUGUCAUUGGUGUGUGCACUUUUCAAGCUUUUUCAUUGACAAUGUGGCUUUAAUUGUUGUGUUGGCAAAGUGUAUCGUCUCAGCCACUAUGUUUUCUGCGGUUGAGUCUAUAAGCACCUUCAUACCUCAGUUGGUAGAGCAGAGGACUGUAAGAAGUUCCUCAUAUGAAGCGUUGUUAUGCGAACAUCGCUGGUUCUACUCCCGCUCAAAGCACCAGUUUCAUUUAUGUAUGCACUUUUCAAGCUUUUUCAUUGACCAUGUAGCUUUAAUUGUUGUGUUGGCAAAGUGUGUCGCCGAAGCCACUAUGUUUUCUGCGGUUGAGUCUAUAAGCACCUUCAUAGCUCAGUUGGUAGAGCAGAGGACUGUAAGAAGUUCCUGAAAUGCUGUGGUCCAAAGGGCGCUGGAUCAACUCCAGCUCCAAACACCACAUUUCAUUGCUGUAUGCACUGUUCAACCUUUUUCAUUGACCAUGUGGGUCCAAUUGUAUUGUUGGCAAAGUGUGUCGUCUCAGCCACUAUGUUUUCUGCGGUUGUGUCAAUAAGCACCUUCACAGUUCAUUUGGUAGAGCAGAGGACUGUUAGAAGUUCCUAGUAUGAAGCGUUGUUAUGCGAAAAUCGCUGGUUCAACUCCCCCUCAAAGCAUCAUUUGUGUAUCCACUUUUCAAGCUUUUUCAUUGACCAUGUAGCUUUAAUUGUUGUGUUGGCAAAGUGUGUCGUUUCAGCCACUAUGUUUUCUGCGGUUGUGUCAAUAAGCACCUUCACAGUUCAUUUGGUAGAGCAGAGGACUGUUAGAAGUUCCUAGUAUGAAGCGUUGUUAUGCGAAAAACGCUGGUUCAACUCCCCCUCAAAGCAUCAUUUGUGUAUGCACUUUUCAAGCUUUUUCAUUGACCAUGUAGCUUUAAUUGUUGUGUUGGCAAAGUGUGUCAUCUUAGCCACUAUGUUUUCUGCGGUUGAGUCUACAAGCACCUUCAUAGCUCAGUUGGUAGAGCAGAGGACUGUAAGAAGUUCCUCAUAUGAAGCGUUGUUAUGCGCACAUUGCUGGUUCAACUCCCGCUCAAAGCACCAGUUUCAUUGGUGUAUGCACUUUUCAAGCUUUUUCAUUGACCAUGUGGCUUUAAUUGUUGUGUUGGUAAAGUGUAUCGUCUCAGCCACUAUGUUUUCUGCGGUUGAGUCUAUAAGCACCUUCAUAGCUCAGUUGGUAGAGCAGAGGACUGUAAGAAGUUCCUCAUAUGAAGCGUUGUUAUGCAAACAUCGCUGGUUCAACUCCCGCUCAAAGCACCAGUUUCAUUUCUGUAUGCACUUUUCAAGCUUUUUCAUUGACCAUGUAGCUUUAAUUGUUGUGUUGGCAAAGUAUGUCGUCUCAGCCACUAUGUUUUCUGCGGUUGUGUCAAUAAGCACCUUCACAGCUCAGUUGGUAGAGCAGAGCACUGUAAGAAGUUCCUCGUAUAAAACUCUGUGAUGCGAACAUCGCUGGUUCAACUCCCCCUCAAAGCAUCAUUGGUGUAUGCACUUUUCAAGCUUUUUCAUCGACCAUGUAGCUUUAAUUGUUGUGUUGGCAAAGUGUAUCGUCUCAGCCACUAUGUUUUCUGCGGUUGAGUCUACAAAAACCUUCAUAGCUCACUUGGUAGAGCAGAGGACUGUAAGAAGUUCCUAGUAGGAAACUCUGUGAUGUGAACAUUGCCUAUUCAACUCCCGCUUAAAGCACGAUUUUUCAUUGGUGUAUGCACUUUACAAGCUUUUUCAUUGACAAUUUAGCUUUUAUUGUUGUGUUGGCAAAGUGUGUCGUCUCAGCCACUAUGUUUUCUGCGGUUGAGUCUAUAAGCACCUUCAUAGCUCAGUUGGUAGAGCAGAGGACUGUCAGAACUUCCUAGUAUGAAACUCUGUCAUGCGAACAUAGCUGGAUCAACUCCCGCUCAAAGCACAAUUUUUCAUUGGUGUAUGCACUUUUCAAGCUUUUUCAUUGACCAUGUAGCUUUAAUUGUUGUAUUGGCAAAGUGUAUCGUCUCAGCCACUAUGUUUUCUGCGGUUGAGUCUAUAAGCACCUUCAUAGCUCAGUUGGUAGAGCAGAGGACUGUAAGAAGUUUCUCAUAUAAAACUCUGUGAUGCAAACAUCGCUGGUUCAACUCCCGCUCAAAGCAUCAUUUGUGUAUGCACUUUUCAAGCUUUUUCAUUGACCAUGUAGCUUUAAUUGUUUUGUUGGCAAAGUGUAUCGUCUCAGCCACUAUGUUUUCUGCGGUUGACUCUGUAAGCACCUUCAUAGCUCAAUUGGUACAGCAGAGGACUGUCAGAAGUUCUGUGUAUGAAACUCUGUGAUGCGAACAUCCCUGGUUCAACUCCUGCCCAAAGCACCAUUUGUCAUUGGUGUAUGCACUUUUCAAGCUUUUUCAUUGACCAUGUAGCUUUAAUUGUUGUGUUGGCAAAGUGUGUCGCCGAAGCCACUAUGUUUUCUGCGGUUGAGUCUAUAAGCACCUUCAUAGCUCAGUUGGUAGAGCAGAGGACUGUAAGAAGUUCCUGAAAUGCUGUGGUCCAAAGGUCGCUGGUUCAACUCCAGCUCCAAACACCACAUUUCAUUGCUGUAUGCACUGUUCAACCUUUUUCAUUGACAAGGUAGCUUGAUUGUUAUGUUGGCAAAGUGUGUCGCCGAAGCCACUAUGUUUUCUGCGUUUGUGUCUAUAAGCACCUUCAUAGCUCAGUUGGUAGAGCAGAGGACUGUAAGAAGUUCCUGAAACGCUUUGGUCCAAAGGGCGCUGGUUCAACUCCAGCUCCUAACACUAGAUCUCAUUGCUGUAUGCACUCUUCAACCUUUUUCAUUGACCAUGUGGGUCCAAUUGUAUUGUUGGCAAAGUGUGUCGCCGAAGCCACUAUGUUUUCUGCGUUUGUGUCUAUAAGCACCUUCAUAGCUCAGUUGGUACAGCAGAGGACUGUAAGAAGUUCCUGAAACGCUGUGGUCCAAAGGUCGCUGGUUCAACUCCAGCUCCAAACACCACAUUUCAUUGCUGUAUGCACUGUUCAACCUUUUUCAUUGACCAUGUGGGUCCAAUUGUAGUGUUGGCAAAGUGUGUCGCCGAAGCCACUAUGUUUUCUGCGUUUGUAUAUAUAAGCACCUUCAUAGCUCAGUUGGUAGAGCAGAUGACUGUAAGAAGUUCCUGAAACGCUGUGGUCAAAAGGUCGCUGGUUCAACUCCACUUCCAAACACCAGAUUUCAUUGCUUUAUGCACUGUUCAACCUUUUUCAUUGACAAGGUAGCUUGAUUGUUAUGUUGGCAAAGUGUGUCGCCGAAGCCACUAUGUUUUCUGCGUUUGUGUCUAUAAGCACCUUCAUAGCUCAGUUGGUAGAGCAGAGGACUUUAAGAAGUUCCUGAAACGCUGUGGUCCAAAGGUCGCUGGUUCAACUCCAGCUCCAAACACCACAUUUCAUUGCUGUAUGCACUGUUCAACCUUUUUCAUUGACCAUGUGGGUCCAAUUGUAUUGUUGGCAAAGUGUGUCGCCGAAGCCACUAUGUUUUCUGCGUUUGUAUAUAUAAGCACCUUCAUAGCUCAGUUGGUAGAGCAGAGGACUGUAAGAAGUUCCUGAAACGCUGUGGUCCAAAGGUCGCUGGUUCAACUCCAGCUCCAAACACCACAUUUCAUUGCUGUAUGCACUCUUCAACCUUUUUCAUUGACCAUGUGGGUCCAAUUGUAUUGUUGGCAAAGUGUGUCACCGAAGCCACUAUGUUUUCUGCGUUUGUCUCUAUAAGCACCUUCAUAGCUCAGUUGGUAGAGCAGAGGACUGUAAGAAGUUCCUGAAACGCUGUGGUCCCAAGGGCGCUGGUUCAACUCCAGCUCCAAACACCACAUUUCAUUGCUGUAAGCACUCUUCAACCUUUUUCAUUGACCAUGUGGGUCAAAUUGUAUUGUUGGCAAAGUGUGUCGCCGAAGCCACUAGGUUUUCUGCGUUUGUGUCUAUGAGCACCUUCAUAGCUCAGUUGGUAGAGCAGAGGACUGUAAGAAUUUCCUGAAAUGCUGUGGUCCAAAGGUCGCUGGUUCAACUCCAGCUCCAAACACUAGAUCUUAUUGCUGUAUGCACUCUUCAACCUUUUUCAUUGACCAUGUGGGUCCAAUUGUAUUGUUGGCAAAGUGUGUCGCCGAAGCCACUAUGUUUUCUGCGUUUGUAUAUAUAAGCACCUUCAUAGCUCAGUUGGUAGAGCAGAGGACUGUAAGAAGUUCCUGAAAUGCUGUGGUCCGAAGUUCCUGAAACGCUGUAGUCCAAAGGUCACUGGUUCAACUCCAGCUCCAAACACCAGAUUUCAUUGCUGUAUGCACUCUUCAACCUUUUUCAUUGACCAUGUAGCUUUUAUUGUUGUGUUGGCAAAGUGUAUCGUCUCAGCCACUAUGUUUUCUGCGGUUGAGUCUAUAAGCACCUUCAUAGCUCAGUUCGUAGAGCAGAGGACUGUAAGAAGUUCCUAGUAUGAAACUCUGUGAUGCGAACAUCGCUGCUUCAACUCCCGCUCAAAGCACCAGUUUUCAUUGCUGUAUGCACUCUUAAACCUUUUUCAUUGACCAUGUGGGUCCAAUUGUAUUGUUGGCAAAGUGUGUCGCCGAAGCCACUAUGUUUUCUGCGUUUGUAUAUAUAAGCACCUUCAUAGCUCAGUUGGUAGAGCAGAGGACUGUAAGAAGUUCCUGAAACGCUGUGGUCCAAAGGUCGCUGGUUCAACUCCAGCUCUUAACACUAGAUCUCAUUGCUGUAUGCACUCUUCAACCUUUUUCAUUGACCAUGUGGGUCCAAUUGUAUUGUUGGCAAAGUGUGUCGCCGAAUCCACUAUGUUUUCUGCGUUUGUGUCUAUAAGCACCUUCAUAGCUCAGUUGGUAGAGCAGAGGACUGUAAGAAGUUCCUGAAACGCUGUGGUCCAAAGGUCGCUCGUUCAACUCCAGCUCCAAACACUAGAUCUUAUUGCUGUAUGCACUCUUCAACCUUUUUCAUUGACCAUGUAUGUCCAAUUGUAUUGUUGGCAAAGUGUGUCGCCGAAGCCACUAUGUUUUCUGCGUUUGUAUAUAUAAGCACCUUCAUAGCUCAGUUGGUAGAGCAGAGGACUUAAAGAAGUUCCUGAAACCCUGUGGUCCAAAGGUCGCUGGUUCAACUCCAGCUCCAAACACCACAUUUCAUUGCUGUAUGCACUGUUCAACCUUUUUCAUUGACCAUGUGGGUCCAAUUGUAUUGUUGGCAAAGUGUGUCGCCGAAGCCACUAUGUUUUCUGCGUUUGUAUAUAUAUGCACCUUCAUAGCUCAGUUGGUACAGCAGAGGACUGUAAGAAGUUCCUGAAACGCUGUGGUCCAAAGGGCGCUGGUUCAACUCCAGCUCUUAACACUAGAUCUCAUUGCUGUAUGCACUCUUCAACCUUUUUCAUUGACCAUGUGGGUCCAAUUGUAUUGUUGGCAAAGUGUGUCGCCGAAUCCACUAUGUUUUCUGUGUUUGUGUCUGUAAGCACCUUCAUAGCUCAGUUGCUAGACCAGAGGACUGUAAGAAGUUCCUGAAACGCUGUGGUCCAAAGGUCGCUGGUUCAACUCCAGCUCCAAACACUAGAUCUUAUUGCUGUAUGCACUCUUCAACCUUUUUCAUUGACCAUGUUGUCCAAUUGUAUUGUUGGCAAAGUGUGUCGCCGAAGCCACUAUGUUUUCUGCGUUUGUAUAUAUAAGCACCUUCAUAGCUCAGUUGGUAGAGCAGAGGACUUUAAGAAGUUCCUGAAAUGCUGUGGUCCGAAGUUCCUGAAACGCUGUAGUCCAAAGGUCACUGGUUCAACUCCAGCUCCAAACACCAGAUUUCAUUGCUGUAUGCACUCUUCAACCUUUUUCAUUGACCAUGUGGCUUUAAUUGUUGUGUUGGCAAAGUGUAUCGUCUCAGCCACUAUGUUUUCUGCGGUUGAGUCUAUAAGCACCUUCAUAGCUCAGUUGGUAGAGCAGAGGACUGUAAGAAGUUCCUAAUAUGAAACUCUGUGAUGCGAACAUCGCUGCUUCAACUCCCGCUCAAAGCACCAGUUUUCAUUGGUGUAUGCACUUUUCAAGCUUUUUCAUUGACCAUGUAGCUUUAAUUGUUUUGUUGGCAAAGUGUAUCGUCUCAGCCACUAUGUUUUCUGCGGUUCAGUCUACAAGCACUUUCAUAGCUCAGUUGGUAGAGCAGAACACUGUAAGAAGUUCUUAGUAUGAAACUCUGUGAUGCGAACAUCGCUGGUUCAGCUCCCGCUCAAAGCACACGUUUUCAUUGGUGUAUGCACUUUUCAAGCUUUUGCAUUGAUCAUGUAGCUUUAAUUGUUGUGUUGGCAAAGUGUAUCGUCUCAGCCACUAUGUUGUCUGCGGUUGAGUCUACAAGCACCUUCACAGCUCAGUUGGUAGAGCAGAAGACUGUAAGAAGUUCCUAGUAUGAAAUUCUGUGAUGCGAACAUAGCUGGUUCAACUCCCGCUCAAAGCACCAGUUUUCAUUGCUGUAUGCACUCUUAAACCUUUUUCAUUGACCAAGUGGGUCCAAUUGUAUUGUUGGCAAAGUGUGUCGCCGAAGCCACUAUGUUUUCUGCGUUUGUAUAUAUAAGCACCUUCAUAGCUCAGUUGGUAGAGCAGAGGACUGUAAGAAGUUCCUGAAACGCUGUGGUCCAAAGGUCGCUGGUUCAACUCCAGCUCCAAACACCACAUUUCAUUGCUGUAUGCACUGUUCAACCUUUUUCAUUGACCAUGUGGGUCCAACUGUAUUGUUGGCAAAGUGUGUCGCCGAAGCCACUAUGUUUUCUGCGUUUGUAUAUAUAAGCACCUUCAUAGCUCAGUUGGUAGAGCAGAGGACUGUACGAAGUUCCUGAAACGCUGUGGUCCAAAGGUCGCUGGUUCAACUCCAGCUCCAAACACCACAUUUCAUUGCUGUAUGCACUGUUCAACCUUUUUCAUUGACAAGGUAGCUUGAUUGUUAUGUUGGCAAAGUGUGUCGCCGAAGCCACUAUGUUUAAUGCGUUUGUGUCUAUAAGCACCUUCAUACCUCAGUUGGUAGAGCAGAGGACUGUAAGAAGUUCCUGAAACGCUGUGGUCCAAAGGUCGCUGGUUCAACUCCAGCUCCAAACACCACAUUUCAUUGCUGUAUGCACUGUUCAACCUUUUUCAUUGACCAUGUGGGUCCAAUUGUAUUGUUGGCAAAGUGUGUCGCCGAAGCCACUAUGUUUUCUGCGUUUGUGUCUAUAAGCACCUUCAUAGCUCAGUUGGUAGAGCAGAGGACUGUAAGAAGUUCCUGAAACGCUGUGCUCCAAAGGUCGCUGGUUCAACUCCAGCUCCAAACACCACAUUUCAUUGCUGUAUGCACUGUUCAACCUUUUUCAUUGACCAUGUGGGUCCAAUUGUAUUGUUGGCAAAGUGUGUCGCCGAAGCCACUAUGUUUUCUGCGUUUGUAUAUAUAAGCACCUUCAUAGCUCAGUUGGUAGAGCAGAGGACUGUAAGAAGUUCCUGAAACGCUGUGGUCCAAAGGUUGCUGGUUCAACUCCAGCUCCAAACACCACAUUUCAUUGCUGUAUGCACUGUUCAACCUUUUUCAUUGACAAGGUAGCUUGAUUGUUAUGUUGGCAAAGUGUGUCGCCGAAGCCACUAUGUUUAAUGCGUUUGUGUCUAUAAGCACCUUCAUACCUCAGUUGGUAGAGCAGAGGACUGUAAGAAGUUCCUGAAACGCUGUGGUCCAAAGGUCGCUGGUUCAACUCCAGCUCCAAACACCACAUUUCAUUGCUGUAUGCACUGUUCAACCUUUUUCAUUGACCAUGUGGGUCCAAUUGUAUUGUUGGCAAAGUGUGUCGCCGAAGCCACUAUGUUUUCUGCGUUUGUGUCUAUAAGCACCUUCAUAGCUCAGUUGGUAGAGCAGAGGACUGUAAGAAGUUCCUGAAACGCUGUGGUCCAAAGGUUGCUGGUUCAACUCCAGCUCCAAACACCACAUUUCAUUGCUGUAUGCACUGUUCAACCUUUUUCAUUGACCAUGUGGGUCCAAUUGUAUUGUUGGCAAAGUGUGUCGCCGAAGCCACUAUGUUUUCUGCGUUUGUAUAUAUAAGCACCUUCAUAGCUCAGUUGGUAGAGCAGAGGAAUGUGAGAAGUUCCUGAAACGCUGUGGUCCAAAGGUCGCUGCUUCAACUCCAGCUCCAAACGCCACAUUUCAUUGCUGUAUGCACUGUUCAACCUUUUUCAUUGACCAUGUGGGUCCAAUUGUAUUGUUGGCAAAGUGUGUCGCCGAAUCCACUAUGUUUUCUGCGUUUGUGUCUAUAAGCACCUUCAUAGCUCAGUUGGUAGAGCAGAGGACUGUAAGAAGUUCCUGAAACGCUGUGGUCCAAAUGUUGCUGGUUCAACUCCAGCUCCAAACACUAGAUCUUAUUGCUGUAUGCACUCUUCAACCUUUUUCAUUGACCAUGUGGGUCCAAUUGUAUUGUUGGCAAAGUGUGUCGCCGAAGCCACUAUGUUUUCUGCGUUUGUAUAUAUAAGCACCUUCAUAGCUCAGUUGGUAGAGCAGAGGACUGUAAGAAGUUCCUGAAACGCUGUGGUCCAAAGGUUGCUGGUUCAACUCCAGCUCCAAACACCACAUUUCAUUGCUGUAUGCACUGUUCAACCUUUUUCAUUGACAAGGUAGCUUGAUUGUUAUGUUGGCAAAGUGUGUCGCCGAAGCCACUAUGUUUAAUGCGUUUGUGUCUAUAAGCACCUUCAUACCUCAGUUGGUAGAGCAGAGGACUGUAAGAAGUUCCUGAAACGCUGUGGUCCAAAGGUCGCUGGUUCAACUCCAGCUCCAAACACCACAUUUCAUUGCUGUAUGCACUGUUCAACCUUUUUCAUUGACCAUGUGGGUCCAAUUGUAUUGUUGGCAAAGUGUGUCGCCGAAGCCACUAUGUUUUCUGCGUUUGUGUCUAUAAGCACCUUCAUAGCUCAGUUGGUAGAGCAGAGGACUGUAAGAAGUUCCUGAAACGCUGUGGUCCAAAGGUCGCUGGUUCAACUCCAGCUCCAAACACCACAUUUCAUUGCUGUAUGCACUGUUCAACCUUUUUCAUUGACCAUGUGGGUCCAAUUGUAUUGUUGGCAAAGUGUGUCGCCGAAGCCACUAUGUUUUCUGCGUUUGUAUAUAUAAGCACCUUCAUAGCUCAGUUGGUAGAGCAGAGGAAUGUGAGAAGUUCCUGAAACGCUGUGGUCCAAAGGUCGCUGCUUCAACUCCAGCUCCAAACGCCACAUUUCAUUGCUGUAUGCACUGUUCAACCUUUUUCAUUGACCAUGUGGGUCCAAUUGUAUUGUUGGCAAAGUGUGUCGCCGAAUCCACUAUGUUUUCUGCGUUUGUGUCUAUAAGCACCUUCAUAGCUCAGUUGGUAGAGCAGAGGACUGUAAGAAGUUCCUGAAACGCUGUGGUCCAAAUGUUGCUGGUUCAACUCCAGCUCCAAACACUAGAUCUUAUUGCUGUAUGCACUCUUCAACCUUUUUCAUUGACCAUGUGGGUCCAAUUGUAUUGUUGGCAAAGUGUGUCGCCGAAGCCACUAUGUUUUCUGCGUUUGUAUAUAUAAGCACCUUCAUAGCUCAGUUGGUAGAGCAGAGGACUUUAAGAAGUUCCUGAAAUGCUGUGAUCCGAAGUUCCUGAAACGCUGUAGUCCAAAGGUCACUGGUUUAACUCCAGCUCCAAACACCACAUUUCAUUGCUGUAUGCACUCUUCGACCUUUUUCAUUGACCAUGUAGCUUUAAUUGUUGUGUUGGCAAAGUGUAUCGUCUCAGCCACUAUGUUUUCUGCGGUUGAGUCUAUAAGCACCUUCAUAGCUCAGUUGGUAGAGCAGAGGACUGUAAGAAGUUCCUAGUAUGAAACUCUGUGAUGCGAACAUCGCUGCUUCAACUCCCGCUCAAAGCACCAGUUUUCAUUGGUGUAUGCACUUUUCAAGCUUUUUCAUUGACCAUGUAGCUUUAAUUGUUUUGUUGGCAAAGUGUAUCGUCUCAGCCACUAUGUUUUCUGCGGUUGAGUCUACUAGCACCUUCAUAGCUCAGUUGGUAGAGCAGAACACUGUAAGAAGUUCUUAGUAUGAAACUCUGUGAUGCGAACAUCGCUGGUUCAGCUCCCGCUCAAAGCACCAGUUUUCAUUGGUGUAUGCACUUUUCAAGCUUUUGCAUUGAUCAUGUAGCUUUAAUUGUUGUGUUGGCAAAGUGUAUCGUCUCAGCCACUAUGUUGUCUGCGGUUGAGUCUACAAGCACCUUCACAGCUCAGUUGGUAGAGCAGAAGACUGUAAGAAGUUCCUAGUAUGAAACUCUGUGAUGCGAACAUCGCUGGCUCAACUCCCGCUCAAAGCACCAGUUUUCAUUGCUGUAUGCACUCUUAAACCUUUUUCAUUGACCAUGUGGGUCCAAUUGUAUUGUUGGCAAAGUGUGUCGCCGAAGCCACUAUGUUUUCUGCGUUUGUAUAUAUAAGCACCUUCAUAGCUCAGUUGGUAGAGCAGAGGACUGUAAGAAGUUCCUGAAACGCUGUGGUCCAAAGGUCGCUGCUUCAACUCCAGCUCCAAACACCACAUUUCAUUGCUGUAUGCACUGUUCAACCUUUUUCAUUGACCAUGUGGGUCCAAUUGUAUUGUUGGCAAAGUGUGUCGCCGAAGCCACUAUGUUUUCUGCGUUUGUGUCUAUAAGCACCUUCAAAGCUCACUUGGUAGAGCAGAGCACUGUAAGAAGUUCCUGAAACGCUGUGGUCCAAAGGUCGCUGGUUCAACUCCAGCUCCAAACACCACAUUUCAUUGCUGUAUGCACUGUUCAACCUUUUUCAUUGACCAUGUGGGUCCAAUUGUAUUGUUGGCAAAGUGUGUCGCCGAAGCCACUAUGUUUUCUGCGUUUGUAUAUAUAAGCACCUUCAUAGCUCAGUUGGUAGAGCAGAGGACUGUAAGAAGUUCCUGAAACGCUGUGGUCCAAAGGUCGCUGGUUCAACUCCAGCUCCAAACACCACAUUUCAUUGCUGUAUGCACUGUUCAACCUUUUUCAUUGACCAUGUGGGUCCAAUUGUAUUGUUGGCAAAGUGCGUCGCCGAAUCCACUAUGUUUUCUGCGUUUGUGUCUAUAAGCACCUUCAUAGCUCAGUUGGUAGAGCAGAGGACUGUAAGAAGUUCCUGAAACGCUGUGGUCCAAAGGUCGCUGGUUCAACUCCAGCUCCAAACACUAGAUCUUAUUGCUGUAUGCACUCUUCAACCUUUUUCAUUGACCAUGUGGGUCCAAUUGUAUUGUUGGCAAAGUGUGUCGCCGAAGCCACUAUGUUUUCUGCGUUUGCAUAUAUAAGCACCUUCAUAGCUCAGUUGGUAGAGCAGAGGACUUUAAGAAGUUCCUGAAAUGCUGUGGUCCGAAGUUCCUGAAACGCUGUAGUCCAAAGGUCACUGGUUCAACUCCAGCUCCAAACACCAGAUUUCAUUGCUGUAUGCACUCUUCAACCUUUUUCAUUGACCACGUAGCUUUAAUUGUUGUGUUGGCAAAGUGUAUCGUCUCAGCCACUAUGUUUUCUGCGGUUGAGUCUAUAAGCACCUUCAUAGCUCAGUUGUAGAGCAGACGACAGUAAGAAGUUCCUAGUAUGAAACUCUGUGAUGCGAACAUCGCUGCUUCAACUCCCGCUCAAAGCACCAGUUUUCAUUGGUGUAUGCACUUUUCAAGCUUUUUCAUUGACCAUGUAGCUUUAAUUGUUUUGUUGGCAAAGUGUAUCGUCUCAGCCACUAUGUUUUCUGCGGUUGAGUCUACAAGCACCUUCAUAGCUCAGUUGGUAGAGCAGAGGACUGUAAGAAGUUCCUGAAACGCUGUGGUCCAAAGGUCGCUGGUUCAACUCCAGCUCCAAACAGCACAUUUCAUUGCUGUAUGCACUCUUCAACCUUUUUCAUUGACCAUGUGGGUCCAAUUGUAUUGUUGGCAAAGUGUGUCGCCGAAGCCACUAUGUUUUCUGCGCUUGUGUCUAUACGCACCUUCAUAGCUCAGUUGGUAGAGCAGAGGACUGUAAGAAGUUCCUGAAACGCUGUGGUCCAAAUGUUGCUGGUUCAACUCCAGCUCCAAACACCACAUUUCAAUGCUGUAUGCACUGUUCAACCUUUUUCAUUGACCAUGUGGGUCCAAUUGUAUUGUUGGCAAAGUGUGUCGCCGAAGCCACUAUGUUUUCUGCGUUUGUAUAUAUAAGCACCUUCAUAGCUCAGUUGGUAGAGCAGAGGACUGUAAGAAGUUCCUGAAACGCUGUGGUCCAAAGGUCGCUGGUUCAACUCCAGCUCCAAACACCAGAUUUCAUUGCUUUAUGCACUGUUCAACCUUUUUCAUUGACAAGGUAGCAUGAUUGUUAUGUUGGCAAAGUGUGUCGCCAAAGCCACUAUGUUUUCUGCGUUUGUGUCUAUAAGCACCUUCAUAGCUCAGUUGGUAGAGCAGAGGACUGUAAGAAGUUCCUGAAAUGCUGUGGUCCAAAGGGCGCUGGUUCAACUCCAGCUCCUAACACUAGGUCUCAUUGCUGUAUGCACUGUUCAACCUUUUUCAUUGACCAUGUGGGUCCAAUUGUAUUGUUGGCAAAGUGUGUCGCCGAAGCCACUAUGUUUUCUGCGUUUGUGUCUAUCAGCACCUUCAUAGCUCAGUUGGUAGAGCACACGACUGUAAGAAGUUCCUGAAACGCUGUGGUCCAAAGGUCGCUGGUUCAACUCCAGCUCCAAACACCAGAUUUCAUUGCUGUAUGCACUGUUCAACGUUUUUCAUUGACCAUGUGGGUCCAAUUAUAUUGUUGGCAAAGUGUGUCGCCGAAUCCACUAUGUUUUCUGCGUUUGUGUUUAUAAGCACCUUCAUAGCUCAGUUGGUAGAGCAGAGGACUGUAAGAAGUUCCUGAAACGCUGUGGUCCAAAGGUCGCUGGUUCAACUCCAGCUCCAAACACCAGAUUUCAUUGCUUCAUGCAAUGUUCAACCUUUUUCAUUGACAAGGUAGCUUGAUUGUUAUGUUGGCAAAGUGUGUCGCCAAAGCCACUAUGUUUUCUGCGUUUGUGUCUAUAAGCACCUUCAUAGCUCAGUUGGUAGAGCACACGACUGUAAGAAGUUCCUGAAAUGCUGUGGUCCAAAGGGCGCUGGUUCAACUCCAGCUCCUAACACUAGAUCUCAUUGCUUUAUGCACUCUUCAACCUUUUUCAUUGACCAUGUGGGUCCAAUUGUAUUGUUGGCAAAGUGUGUCGCCGAAGCCACUAUGUUUUCUGCGUUUGUGUCUAUCAGCACCUUCAUAGCUCAGUUGGUAGAGCACACGACUGUAAGAAGUUCCUGAAACGCUGUGGUCCAAAGGUCGCUGGUUCAACUCCAGCUCCAAACACCAGAUUUCAUUGCUGUAUGCACUGUUCAAGCUUUUUCAUUGACCAUGUGGGUCCAAUUAUAUUGUUGGCAAAGUGUGUCGCCGAAUCCACUAUGUUUUCUGCGUUUGUGUUUAUAAGCACCUUCAUAGCUCAGUUGGUAGAGCAGAGGACUGUAAGAAGUUCCUGAAACGCUGUUGUCCAAAGGUCGCUGGUUCAACUCCAGCUCCAAACACCACAUUUCAUUGCUGUAUGCACUGUUCAACCUUUUUCAUUGACAAGGUAGCUUGAUUGUUAUGUUGGCAAAGUGUGUCGCCGAAGCCACUAUGUUUAAUGCGUUUGUGUCUAUAAGCACCUUCAUAGCUCAGUUGGUAGAGCAGAGGACUGUAAGAAGUUCCUGAAACUCUGUGGUCCAAAGGUCGCUGGUUCAACUCCAGCUCCAAACACCACAUUUCAUUGCUGUAUGCACUGUUCAACCUUUUUCAUUGACCAUGUGGAUCCAAUUGUAUUGUUGGCAAAGUGUGUCGCCGAAGCCACUAUGUUUUCUGCGUUUCUAUACGCACCUUCAUAGCUCAGUUGGUAGAGCAGAGGACUGUAAGAAGUUCCUGAAACGCUGUGGUCCAAAGGUCGCUGGUUCAACUCCAGCUCCAAACACCAGAUUUCAUUGCUGUAUGCACUGUUCAACCUUUUUCAUUGACCAUGUGGGUCCAAUUGUAUUGUUGGCAAAGUGUGUCGCCGAAGCCACUAUGUUUUCUGCGUUUGUAUAUAUAAGCACCUUCAUAGCUCAGUUGGUAGAGCAGAGGACUUUAAGAAGUUCCUGAAAUGCUGUGGUCCGAAGUUCCUGAAACGCUGUAGUCCAAAGGUCACUGGUUCAACUCCAGCUCCAAACACCAGAUUUCAUUGCUGUAUGCACUCUUCAACCUUUUUCAUUGACCAUGUAGCUUUAAUUGUUGUGUUGGCAAAGUGUAUCGUCUCAGCCACUAUGUUUUCUGCGGUUGAGUCUAUAAGCACCUUCGUAGCUCAGUUGUAGAGCAGACGACAGUAAGAAGUUCCUAGUAUGAAACUCUGUGAUGCGAACAUCGCUGCUUCAACUCCCGCUCAAAGCACCAGUUUUCAUUGGUGUAUGCACUUUUCAAGCUUUUUCAUUGACCAUGUAGCUUUAAUUGUUUUGUUGGCAAAGUGUAUCGUCUCAGCCACUAUGUUUUCUGCGGUUGAGUCUACAAGCACCUUCAUAGCUCAGUUGGUAGAGCAGAGGACUUUAAGAAGUUCCUCAACAAUGUUGUCCAAAGGUCGCUGGUUCAACUCCAGCUCCAAACACCACAUUUCAUUGCUGUAUGCACUGUUCAACCUUUUUCAUUGACAAGGUAGCUUGAUUGUUAUGUUGGCAAAGUGUGUCGCCGAAGCCACUAUGUUUAAUGCGUUUGUGUCUAUAAGCACCUUCAUAGCUCAGUUGGUAGAGCAGAGGACUGUAAGAAGUUCCUGAAACGCUGUGGUCCAAAGGUCGCUGGUUCAACUCCAGCUCCAAACACCACAUUUCAUUGCUGUAUGCACUCUUCAACCUUUUUCAUUGACCAUGUGGGUCCAAUUGUAUUGUUGGCAAAGUGUGUCGCCGAAGCCACUAUGUUUUCUGCGCUUGUGUCUAUACGCACCUUCAUAGCUCAGUUGGUAGAGCAGAGGACUGUAAGAAGUUCCUGAAACGCUGUGGUCCAAAGGUCGCUGGUUCAGCUCCAAACACCAGAUUUCAUUGCUUUAUGCACUGUUCAACCUUUUUCAUUGACAAGGUAGCAUGAUUGUUAUGUUGGCAAAGUGUGUCGCCAAAGCCACUAUGUUUUCUGCGUUUGUGUCUAUAAGCACCUUCAUAGCUCAGUUGGUAGAGCAGAGGACUGUAAGAAGUUCUUGAAAUGCUGUGGUCCAAAGGGCGCUGGUUCAACUCCAGCUCCUAACACUAGAUCUCAUUGCUGUAUGCACUGUUCAACCUUUUUCAUUGACCAUGUGGGUCCAAUUGUAUUGUUGGCAAAGUGUGUCGCCGAAGCCACUAUGUUUUCUGCGGUUGAGUCUAUAAGCACCUUCAUAGCUCAGUUGGUAGAGCAGAGGACUGUAAGAAGUUCCUGAAACGCUGUGGUCCAAAGGUCGCUGGUUCAACUCCAGCUCCAAACACUAGAUCUUAUUGCUGUAUGCACUCUUCAACCUUUUUCAUUGACCAUGUGGGUCCAAUUGUAUUGUUGGCAAAGUGUGUCGCCGAAGCCACUAUGUCUUCUGCGUUUGCAUAUAUAAGCACCUUCAUAGCUCAGUUGGUAGAGCAGAGGACUUUAAGAAGUUCCUGAAAUGCUGUGGUCCGAAGUUCCUGAAACGCUGUAGUCCAAAGGUCACUGGUUCAACUCCAGCUCCAAACACCAGAUUUCAUUGCUGUAUGCACUCUUCAACCUUUUUCAUUGACCACGUAGCUUUAAUUGUUGUGUUGGCAAAGUGUAUCGUCUCAGCCACUAUGUUUUCUGCGGUUGAGUCUAUAAGCACCUUCAUAGCUCAGUUGUAGAGCAGACGACAGUAAGAAGUUCCUAGUAUGAAACUCUGUGAUGCGAACAUCGCUGCUUCAACUCCCGCUCAAAGCACCAGUUUUCAUUGGUGUAUGCACUUUUCAAGCUUUUUCAUUGACCAUGUAGCUUUAAUUGUUUUGUUGGCAAAGUGUAUCGUCUCAGCCACUAUGUUUUCUGCGUUUGUGUCUAUAAGCACCUUCAUAGCUCAGUUGGUAGAGCAGAGGACUGUAAGAAGUUCCUGAAACGCUGUGGUCCAAAGGUCGCUGGUUCAACUCCAGCUCCAAACACCAGUUUUCAUUGGUGUAUGCACUCUUCAACCUUUUUCAUUGACCAUGUGGGUCCAAUUGUAUUGUUGGCAAAGUGUGUCGCCGAAGCCACUAUGUUUUCUGCGCUUGUGUCUAUACGCACCUUCAUAGCUCAGUUGGUAGAGCAGAGGACUGUAAGAAGUUCCUGAAACGCUGUGGUCCAAAGGUCGCUGGUUCAACUCCAGCUCCAAACACCACAUUUCAAUGCUGUAUGCACUGUUCAACCUUUUUCAUUGACCAUGUGGGUCCAAUUGUAUUGUUGGCAAAGUGUGUCGCCGAAGCCACUAUGUUUUCUGCGUUUGUAUAUAUAAGCACCUUCAUAGCUCAGUUGGUAGAGCAGAGGACUGUAAGAAGUUCCUGAAACGCUGUGGUCCAAAGGUUGCUGGUUCAACUCCAGCUCCAAACACCAGAUUUCAUUGCUUUAUGCACUGUUCAACCUUUUUCAUUGACAAGGUAGCAUGAUUGUUAUGUUGGCAAAGUGUGUCGCCAAAGCCACUAUGUUUUCUGCGUUUGUGUCUAUAAGCACCUUCAUAGCUCAGUUGGUAGAGCAGAGGACUGUAAGAAGUUCCUGAAAUGCUGUGGUCCAAAGGGCGCUGGUUCAACUCCAGCUCCUAACACUAGGUCUCAUUGCUGUAUGCACUGUUCAACCUUUUUCAUUGACCAUGUGGGUCCAAUUGUAUUGUUGGCAAAGUGUGUCGCCGAAGCCACUAUGUUUUCUGCGUUUGUGUCUAUCAGCACCUUCAUAGCUCAGUUGGUAGAGCACACGACUGUAAGAAGUUCCUGAAACGCUGUGGUCCAAAGGUCGCUGGUUCAACUCCAGCUCCAAACACCAGAUUUCAUUGCUGUAUGCACUGUUCAACCUUUUUCAUUGACCAUGUGGGUCCAAUUAUAUUGUUGGCAAAGUGUGUCGCCGAAUCCACUAUGUUUUCUGCGUUUGUGUUUAUAAGCACCUUCAUAGCUCAGUUGGUAGAGCAGAGGACUGUAAGAAGUUCCUGAAACGCUGUGGUCCAAAGGUCGCUGGUUCAACUCCAGCUCCAAACACCAGAUUUCAUUGCUUCAUGCAAUGUUCAACCUUUUUCAUUGACAAAGUAGCUUGAUUGUUAUGUUGGCAAAGUGUGUCGCCAAAGCCACUAUGUUUUCUGCGUUUGUGUCUAUAAGCACCUUCAUAGCUCAGUUGGUAGAGCACACGACUGUAAGAAGUUCCUGAAAUGCUGUGGUCCAAAGGGCGCUGGUUCAACUCCAGCUCCUAACACUAGAUCUCAUUGCUUUAUGCACUCUUCAACCUUUUUCAUUGACCAUGUGGGUCCAAUUGUAUUGUUGGCAAAGUGU
rnacentral:lncRNA from 1 species